UUUAUUUUUGAGAGAGGGAGAGCAGGGAAGGGGCACAGAAAGAGGGAGAGAAUCCCAAGCAGGCUCCGUGCUGUCAGCUCAGAGUCCGAUGUGGGGCUUGAUCUCGUGAACGGUGAGAUCAUGACCUGAGUGGAAAUCGAGUUGGAUGCUUAACCAACUGAGCCACCCAGGCGCCCCUGAGCUACUUUUUACUUGACUUAAUUUCUCUCUCUCUCUCCCUCUCUUUCUUUUUUUUGAAUCUAGUUGACACACAAUGUUACUUUCAAGUGUAGUACAGCUUGGUGAUUUGAUACGUUUAUUCCUUAUGCUAUGUUCACAAGUGUAGCUGUCAUCUGUCCCAUUACAUCCCUGUUACAGUAUCAUUGACUGUAUUCCUUAAGUUGUGCUUUUCAUUCUUGUAAUUUACUCAUUCCAUAACUGGAGGCCUGUAUCCCUCUCCCCUCCACUCAUUUUGCUCAAUCAACCCUCCCAUCCCCUCCCCUCUGGCAACCAUUGGUUUGUUCUCUUUAUUUAUAGGUCUGAUUCUGGUUUUUGAUUGUUUAUUCUUUCUUUUUUUAUAUUCCAUUUAUGUGUGGAAUCAUAUGGUCUUUGUCUUUCUCGGUCUGACUUAUUUCAUUUAACGUAAUAACCUCUAGCUCCAUCCAUGUUAUCUCAGAUGGCAUGAUCUCUUCCUUUUUUAUGGCUGCGUAAUAUUCCAUUGUGCGUGCAUGUAUGUAGGUAUGGGUGUAUAUGUGUGUAUGUGUAUUUGGCACAUUUUCCUUAUCCGUUCAUCUGUUGAUGGACACUUAGGUUGCUUCAAUAUCUUGGCUGUUGUAAAUAGUGCUGCAGUAAACAUAGGGGUGCAUAUAUCUUUUCAAGUUAGUGUUUUUGUUUUCUCUGGGUAAAUACCCAAUAGUGAUAUUAUUGGAUCCUGUGGUAUUUCUGUUUUUAACUCUUGGAGGAACUUCCAUACUGUUUUCCACAGUGGCCGUUCCGGUUUAUCUGUACUGGUUUAUCCACCAACAGUACACAAGCAUACCUUUUUUCCAGAUCCUUGUCAGCACUUGUUGUUGCUUAUCUUUUUAAUUUAGCCAUUCUGACAGGGGUGAGGUGAUAUCUCAUUGUGGUUUUGAUUAGCAUUUGUGCGAAUCAAAUCUGAUUCUUGUUUGCAUUUGAUUCGCAUUAGUGAUGUUGAGCAUCUUUUCAUGCGUCUAUUGGCCAUGUGUAUGUCUUCUUUAGGAAAAUGUCUAUUCAGGUCCUUUGCCCAUUUUUUAAUCAGGUUAUUUUUUGGUGUUGGGUUGUAUCAGCCAUGUAAUUCUUAAAACAAACAAACACAAAGAAUCACUCAUCUUAAGGAGACAAUUAAUAGUGUAUCAAUUCUCAAAGGGGGCUCAACUCCUACAACUAAGAUUAAAUUCACACAUACUCCAAAAGGUAAGAAGCCAAUCAGUCAGCCAACAAUUUUUUUUAAGUUUAUUUAUUUUGAGAGAGAAAGAAAGAGAGAGAGAGAGAGGGAGAGUGAGUGCAAGCAGGGGAGGGGCAGAGAGAGGGAGAGAGAUUCCCAAGCAGGCUCCACUCUGUCAUUGCAGAGCCCGGUGCAAGGCUCCAUGUCAUGCUCUCACGGCUCGUGGGUUUGAGGCCUGCGUCAGGCUCUGCUGACAGCUCAGAGCCUGGAAACUGCUUCAGAUUCUGUAUCUCCCUCUGCCCUUCCUCCGUUCAUGCUCUGUCUCCCUCUACAAUAGAUAAACAGUAAAAAGAAAUGUAAAAAGAGUCAGAUGUUCAACUGAGCCAUCCAGGCGCUCUAGUCAGCCAGCAAAUAUUUUUGAGUGCCUUCUGUACACUAGAUAGUGGGGACGUAGAUGUGAACUAACUAGAUAUGCCCGCCCCCCAAAUUACUUCACAUAAUUAAUUAAGUGAUUGCAAAUGUGCAGCUACUAUAGAGGAAGUGAACAGGUCCUAUGGACACCUGACCCGGCUGGAGAAGUGUUCCCAGGGAACGGCCCAGGAGGGUUUAUCUGCAUUAGAGACUCAGCGUGAAAAGUGAGGGAUGAGUGGUGUAAGAUACGGCCCCACGGGAAAGAAUUGAAACCUGACUCUAAGGGCAUGGGAAGCUCACGAAGGGUUUUAAGCCAAUGACUGGAUGAGAAUUUCAUGUUUAUGAAGUUUAAAUGCAUCAGGAAAACUUACCUAGAAAUGGGAUGACUAUCUUGAGCGAGAUAAUGUUUCUCUUAUAUUAGAACUCAAAGGAAUAUAUAUCCUAGAAAAUGGAAAUCGAGUAUAUACGUGUUCUUAGGUUUUUGGCCCUGAUAGUGACAUACAUGGACGUGUAGUCUGGUUUUCCUAUCUUAUAAAUGGCAGGGCACUGAAACCCUCUGAAGUGCAUCUUGAUAGUUUGAUAGUGUUACUCACGUGCGAUCACUUUUCCCUUAACUUGGCAAAAGAGGAGCGUUCUCGAUAGCCAAGAAAAAACCCUGUGGGUGGUGUGGAAGAAAGAGACAAGAAUGGGGUCUGCAGUUCUCACAGAUGGGCCAGGGGUCCGUCCAGGAGCUGUGCCCAUGUUUCCCAUGCUACCCUCCCUUGAGAAGGUAUUGAUGCUUCUACUUGGCCUGCCCCCUGUUACACCGAGUUAGGAGGUGUUUUUGUUUUGCUUGUAUCUAUCUAUCUAUCUAUCUAUCUAUCUAUCUAUCUAUCUAUCUAUUUUUAAAGUUUAUUUAUUUUGAGAGAGAGAGAGCACGAGUGGGGGAAGGUAGAGAAAGAGGGAGACAAUAUCCCAAGUAGCCUCCACACUGUCAGCGCAAAGCCCGACGCGGGGCUUGAACCCACGAACUGUGAGAUCAUGACCUGAGCCGAAACCAAAACUCUGAACGUUCAACCAAGUGAGCCGCCCAGGCGCCCCUGUAUUUAUUUUUAAUGUCAACAUUCCACUUGCAUCACCUGUGAUGGUAUCAGUCCUGUCUAGAUAGAUGGGUUUGAACCACUGGGCCCAUAAUCUUAAAAAAUUCAGACAGUUGUCCUAAAAGAGGCCCAGUGGUAGAUGUCAGAGAUGUUGUUCCUCUCUGAGGGAAAGUAAAGCCCCCCCCCCCCCCCCCCCCCCGCCUUGUGCAUGUGUGAAACCACUCCCUUAGGCUGUUAUCUGUAUGAUUUUGUAUGUGACUAUGUUAAGGGGAGCAGUCUGGACUGAGGAUAAGAACAACAGUUAGGUAGGGGCACCUCAGUGGCUCAGUUGGUUCGGUGUCCUACUUCGGCUCAGGUCAUGAUCUCACGGUUCGUGAGUUCGAGCCCCGCGUCGGGCUCUGUGCUGACAGCUCGGAGCCUGGAGCCUGCUUCGGAUUCUGUGUCUCCCCCUCUCUCAGACCCUCCACUGCUCAGGCUCUGCCCCUCUCCCUCAAAAAUAAAUAAACAUUUAAAAAUUUAAGAAAAAAAAAAAGAACAAUUGUUAGGUAAAAGCCACUCAACUUCACAGUCAGAGGAGAUGAUUACAAACUCAGACUUGGAUAAAGAAAUAGAAGCAAGAUGAAAUUAGAAGAAACGGCACAUGUCUGGGGGGUAGCUAAGCAAAGAAGGACGUGCCCUGGUUAUAAACUGGAUUCAAGAGGCCAGAUGGGAGGCUCUUAAGGCCAGGGAACAUAUUUGGGAUCCAGGGUGCUGGGGGCAUCAGAACAUAUCUAAAAUCUCCCAGGAUUCUGCAACCCAGGCUCCUCCCAGUGCUAAAUGGUUGGAAAGAAAGAAACAAAAAUGUUUUUUUUUUUUUUUUUUUAAUUUUUUUUUUUAACGUUUAUUUAUUUUUGAGACAGAGAGAGACAGAGCAUGAACGGGGGAGGGUCAGAGAGAAGGAGACACAGAAUCUGAAACAGGCUCCAGGCUCUGAGCUGUCAGCCCAGAGCCCGACGCGGGGCUUGAACUCAUGGACCGUGAGAUCAUGACCUGAGCCGAAGUCGGCCGCUCAACCGACUGAGCCACCCAGGCGCCCCACAAAAAUGUUAUUUUUGAAGGUAAUGUGAGUGUCUUUAUGUAGAAAACCUGAAAGGGAUCCGCAGAGAAUUGGGAUGUUGGCGUUCUACACAGGAAGUGGGACACGGGUCCCUCUGCUACGGGGCUCCUCUCUGUCAUCCCUGACAGGCCCCGCCCAGGAUCCCUGAAUAACCGAGUUGGAGCCAACUUGACCCGUUUUGACUCCCAGCCUAGAAGAGGGUUCCUUUCCCCGGUCUUAUUCACAGCUCUUUCUAGUUAACAGAGUCCAUUAUUUUUUGCAGUGCGUAUCCAGAUCCUAUUUUGGUAAUCAAAAGCUGACCGUGAUUCUUCCUUUCUCCUUAUAGAUGUCUUUCAAAGAUUCUUCUCUCUGAGGCUGAGAACGUGUCUGGCUAAGAUAAAAGGUGGUUAGAUACAAAGAAUGGUAAAAAGAAAAACAAAAAAGCACAAUAUUAUCCCAUUAUGCCAGUUAUACUGAGAGUGAGAAAAAAAAGAUAAAGUAGAUUACAGGAAGACAGCAUAUUGUAAAGUCUAAGUAUGACCUCCAGGAUAAACAAAAGCUAGCUAGGCAAAAAAGGCAAAAUGAAACAAAAAAGUUGGGAGAAGAGUGUUUAUGAAGACUAGAGAUUGACAAAGGCCGGGCAGGCUGUGGGUCCGGUGUGAGUGACAAAAGGUGCGGCCGGUGAGGUCGGUGUCUGAUCCUGAAAAACCUUGCAAGCCAUGCUCAGGGGAGGGAUUUGUCUCCGGAGGGCAGCCGGAAACCACUGCUGGCUUUGGGAAGCAAGUGCCAGGGCCUGGCUGCAGUGUAAGAAAGGAUGCGGGUCCAAGUCUACAGGUGUUGUAAGAGUCCAGGUCAGGGGCGCCUGGGUGGCUCAGUCGGUCGAGCGUCUGACUUGGGCUCAGGUCAUGAUCUUGGCGUUUCACGGGUUCCAGGCUCAGAGCCUGGAGCUGCCGAUUCCGUGUCUGCCUCUCUUUCUGCCCCUCCCCUGCUCGCACUCUCUCUCCAUCUCUCAAAAGUAAAUAAACAUUAAACAAUUAAAAAAAAAAA